GCUUGUUUAAACUCAUAUCCAUCAAGUCGGUGAUGCCAUCCAACCAUCUCAUCCUCUGUCAUCCCUUCUCCUCUGCCUUCAGUCUUUCCCAGCAUCAGGAUCUUUUCUAAUGCUUUAAGACUAGCAAUUGAAUCUCCUUCACAUACGGCCUGGGCACUUUUCAAAUUGCUGUUUGUGGACUGAGUGCCAGGGGGAAGCAUUAAACUGAAGGCAGAGAACUGCAUUCCAUUUUCAACAUAUGCAAUAAGACGCAAUUGUACAUCAUCCUCCAGAGUCUUUCCAGUUUCACGGCCCUGUCAUUAAAAAUGUGCAAAG
ensembl:lncRNA